rnacentral:rRNA from 1 species
GAUGAACGCUGGCGGCGUGCCUAAUACAUGCCAGUCGAGCGAACAGACGAGGAGCUUGCUCCCCUGACGUUAGCGGCGGACGGGCGAGUAACACGUGGAUAACCUACUUAUAAGACUGGGAUAACUACGGGAAACCGGAGCUAAUACCGGAUAAUAUAUUGAACCGCAUGGUUCAAUAGUGCAAGACGGCUUUGCUGUCACUUAUAGAUGGAUCCGCGCCGCAUUAGCUAGUUGGUAAGGUAACGGCUUACCAAGGCAACGAUGCGUAGCCGACCUGAGAGGGUGAUCAGCCACACUGGAACUGAGACACGGUCCAGACUCCUACGGGAGGCAGCAGUGGGGAAUCUUCCGCAAUGGGCGAAAGCCUGACGGAGCAACGCCGCGUGAGUGAAGAAGGUCUUCGGAUCGUAAAGCUCUGUUAUUGGGGAAGAACAGAUGUAUAAGUAACUAUGCACGUCUUGACGGUACCUAAACAGAAAGCCACGGCUAACUACGUG